rnacentral:lncRNA from 10 species
GCCAAAUUGACCCAUGGGGAGAAACAGAUUAGGCAGAAAAUAGCAUCUCUUUAGAUUUCUUACUCUAACGUACUGAUCCCAUCUUCCCGUGAAAUUGCCCCACCAGGAUGCUGGCAAUCAUAGACCCGGGCAGGCCAGAGGAGGUGAAGCAGGGCCCUUAGUUCUGGGCAGGCACCUGCUGAGGGCCAGGAAAGUCAGCUGAGGCUGAGAGGAUGGCCUGAGAGGCCAGGAUCCAGAGUCCAGGGGGUCAGCGAGAGGGCAAGCCCAAGCUGUUCCAGCCGCUGGGCAGGCGCCUCGGAGGCGGGUACAGGCCAUUUUCCCACCAGCCUGGUCCAGGUGGCCUGGAGGCUGCAGGGGUCGUCUGGGAACAGGUCCUGCCCCUGAUUGAGGCAUGAAAUCUGGGUCUCUCAGACCUGACGGACUUUCGGGAUCAUCUUCCUAGGUCCCCACAAAGUGCCUGAAGACAGGAAACAUUUGGUGUGCUUGACGGGGACUAUGAGAUCUUAUGGCAUCUCAAAGGGUAGAAGUCUGGACAGGAAGACCAGUUGCAUGGUAGAGGAUUCCCCAAGUAGACCACGUGUGUGCCAGCCCAGCAGGCAAACUGCCCCAUAUGUGUUUGUCCGUCAACUGUGCGUGCAGAGCUUUACUCGCGUGCAUGACACAGGAAGCCCACGGGACGCUCCCCCAGCACGCCCCGCUGCCUCGUCACUCCUGGAAGGAAGACCUGUUCUUGUUUCUUCCGUACUCUCAGGAUCUGGCACAGAACCCGACAAAGGAUAUGACUUGCAGAUGUCGAGAUGGAACCUCACCAGGGCUUCCUUCUGAAAGGAAACUUCCAGAAAGCAGCAGACAGACCACAGAACAUCCUUCCUAGAAAAAGAUAAGUCGUCUAUAGACCAGCAACAGCUCUGAUCACAUGACUGCAAGCAAGGUUUCCAAAGAAAUCAAAAUGAUAGCUUAAAGAAUGAGCAUGGAAAAUUUCUUUGUAGAAAGAUUCAAAUUCACAAUGUGACCAAUUAAAAGGAAUCCUAGCGUACAUUUUUUUUUCUCAAAAUUUCACAAAUACUGUCUUAUUUGAUUCUCAUAUUAACCUGUGGAUAUGGGCUGUGAAUAUGAGCCAUGAAGACAUUAUUCUCCAAUUUAUAAUUGAGAGAAGGGAGGGAGGACAUCAGUGACUCGCAUCUCAGGGUACAUGACAGUGAGUGAUUGAGACAGACUUGGGUCUUUUGGUUACUCCUAGUACAGUGCUCUCUCCACCUCAUCCUGCCUUUACAAACUGGAAGCAGGUUAAGUAGCAAUUCAUUUAUUUUUCUUUCAGAAAGAAAUACAUCUUUAAAAGAAUGAGGAUCAAAAGUUGUGUAAAUAGAUGAGGCUGGCGCAGUGGCUCAUACUUGUAAUCCCAGCAUUUUGGGAGGCUGAGGCAGGUGGAUCACCUCAGAUCAGGAGUUCGAGACCAGCCUGGACAAUAUGGCCAGACCCUAUCUCUACUAAAAAUAAAAAAAAUUAACUGGGUGUAAUGGUGGAACCUGUAAUCCCAGCUACUCGGUAGGCUGAGGUAGGGAUAAUUACUUGAACCCAGGAAGUGGAGGUUGCAAUGAGCUGAGAUGGUGCCACUGCACUCUGGCCUGGGCAACAGAGCGAGAUUCUGUCUCAAAAAAAAAAAAAAAAAAAAAAAAGUUGUAUAAAUAAAUGUAAAAAAUUCAAGUAUCUUCAUUCUAUUUUAUAAUAUAGUCAAGGUGUUUUUUGAUUUUCUUUUUUAAGGUAGAAAAACUGAGGGGCAGAGGUAAGUAGAGACAAAGGGACAGAAAAAGACACGCUCUGGUGCCAUACAGGCCCAGGGCUCACAGGGAGCAACAGCCCCAUAGGUGACUUUUUGAGGAUACAAAAGUGUGGUCAUGUUUUUGCAGCUCUAUGCAGAAAUACGGGCAGUGCUUCUGUGACCUAGUGACACUGAGGAUAAAAUUUGAGCCAGGAGCCAGAGGUCCUGUAGCACUGGCCUAAAACCAGGGAGAUCAAUUCUUUUAAUGCUAUAAUGUUUUAACUUCUAGAAUGAGCCUAUUGCCCUGGCUUCAGUUGUUUCUUUAUAAUAAAGUGCAAUAAUGACUAUGGAGAGCAUAGAACAUGAAGAGUAACGGAAAGCCUGCAGGAGGAAACCAGUCACAGCCCUCUAACGGGUGCUCAGCCUCCCUGCCCAUUAGAAUCACCGGGGAAGCUUUAAACAUGCAAUUCCCAAGCCCACCCCAAACAAUGGAGUCAGAAUCCUAAGAGUGGGACCCAGGCAUCAGUACUUAACGCUCCUGGGGUGCAUCUAGUAUACGGUCAAGGUUAAGUACCUUUGAGAGAUUUGUCCAAAAAGGCUGUCUGAGGAAAGGAAGAAGCACUGAAAUGGGAAAAUUCGGAUGUGAGAUUGAGGGUAGCCAAGCAAAACCUUCCCCUGGAAAACAGAUUGAGGACAAAAGAUGCAGGGACUCAAGAGAACAGAACUCUGGGCACGCAGUGGUUGAAGAUGGUCUCUCUUGGACUUUCUGUGGGAGAAGAUAAAGGAGAGAAUUGAGGGACUUCCCCGGAAAGUUCAGUGUAAGAACAUCUUCUGCCUUUUUGUAUUUAAUUAUCUUUCUUCUAAAUAAAACAUUUUGAGGGCUGGGAAGAGGUGCUCAAUCUGCCAAUUUAUUUGAAUUUUGCCUUACUCUGCCUUACACAGCAGCGCUAUGGGAGGAAUACUCACCUGAUGGAGCACAUUCUUAGGUAGAACUCCUAAGCUUCUCUUCCUUUUUUUUUUGAGACGGAGUCUCGCUCUGUCACCCAGGCUGGAGCGCAGUGGCCGGAUCUCAGCUCACUGCAAGCUCCGCCUCCCGGGUUCACGCCAUUCUCCUGCCUCAGCCUCCAGAGUAGCUGGGACUACAGUCGCCCACCACCACGCCCAGCUAUUUUUUUUUUUUUUUUUUUUUGUAUUUUUAGUAGAGACGGGGUUUCACCAUGUUAGCCAGGAUGGUCUCGAUCUCCUGACCUCGUGAUCCUCCUGCCUCGGCCUCCCAAAGUGCUGGGAUUACAGGCAUGACUCUUCCUCUUGAAGAAGGAAAAUGCUGUGGCUGUGAAUAGGACACACAAAGAAACCCACAUCAAUCACCACAAAGGUGAGGGACAUAAGACCAGAGGAAGUUGGCAGGAAGAGGAUGAACGAGGGGUUGCCCUCUGAGACAACCUGGGAUAAGAAUGAUUAAAAAAAAAAAUCACUUUCCUUAUUCUGACACUGCACUGGGAUGAGGAAUUGCUCUGUUCAUGACUGAUCUAAAAGAAGCAAUGAGAUUUCAUUUGAGAUGAGGUCUUGAUGUCAAUAUCACCUCACUUGCCGUUGAUACCCAAGCCCAGGAAUCCUCAGCAUCAUUGCCCUCCCUGCACUCCUAGAGGAGAAGCUCCCUGCAGUGGGAUACUUCUUACUCAGCUUUGCAUCCCUUAGGGCCAACAGUUCGGCACCUACUGAAGUGAAAGCUAACCUGUAGUAUUAUAGAAACUAAGUGAACAUGGUGUAAUGAGUGAUUAGAAUGCAGCUAGUGUUGCUGGUGACUUUAUGAGCAAAAUUCCCUGCCUCUCUCAGAAAAGCAGCUCCCACCUCCUGUUGCUGCGAUGUCAGUGGCAACACCCUCUUCAAGGACAGGUUCAAGAAAGGCGUUUUCAAACCCCUCCCAAGCUCAUUCAAAAUGGCACCAGGGUCGGGUGCCGUGGCUCUCACACCUGUAAUCCAGCACUUUGGGAGGCGGAGGCUGGUGGAUCACUUGAGGCCAGGAGUUUGAGACCAGCUUAGGCAACAUGGUGAAACCCCAUCUCUACAAAAAUUAGCUGAGCAUGGUGGCACAGACCUGUAAUCCAGCUACUUGGGAGGCUGAGGCAGAAGAAUCGCUUGAACCCGGGAGAUGGAGGUUGCAGUGAACUGAGAUGGCGCCACUGCACUCCAGCCUGGGUGACAGAGCGAGGCCCUGUCUCAGAAACAAAACAAAAACCCAAAAUGGCACCAGAAGGCAAAAUCGAUUAGAAGAGCUCUCUCUCUCUGCCUCUUUUUUUUUUUUUUUUUUUUUUUACAAGGAGUGGGAUUUCUCAGUGGGCAUGAGUAAGGAGGGGCUGGUGCAAUGGGAACACUUACAAUAGCAGGGCCCAUCACUUGUCCAGGGGCUGCAACUGGUGACGGAUUUAACCCCACAGUCAUCGGGAUGAGGUGUUUCUCAGCCAUGUCUUCACAUUCAUCUGCAUUGAACCCAGUAAAGCCCCACUUCUUGGAGAUGUGGAUUUCCUAGCAGUCAGGGAACUUGAAGUUGGCCCAUGUGGUAAAGCCCCAUGUGGGCCUCAAUCACGUGCUCCUUGUUCUGCAGAGUGGUGCUGAUGGACACGGCAAUGUGGCCGAGGUGAACCCUGGCCACUGUGCCCUGGGGCUCUCCAAAGACCCCCCCCCCUCCACAUGCCUGUCUGGAGCCCAAGGUGGGGACAGCAUGGGGUCAGAGAUAG